CUACGGGGUGCUGCAGUGGGGAAUAUUGCACAAUGGGCGCAAGCCUGAUGCAGCCAUGCCGCGUGUAUGAAGAAGGCCUUCGGGUUGUAAAGUACUUUCAGCGGGGAGGAAGGGAGUAAAGUUAAUACCUUUGCUCAUUGACGUUACCCGCAGAAGAAGCACCGGCUAACUCCGUGCCAGCAGCCGCGGUAAUACGGAGGGUGCAAGCGUUAAUCGGAAUUACUGGGCGUAAAGCGCACGCAGGCGGUUUGUUAAGUCAGAUGUGAAAUCCCCGGGCUCAACCUGGGAACUGCAUCUGAUACUGGCAAGCUUGAGUCUCGUAGAGGGGGGUAGAAUUCCAGGUGUAGCGGUGAAAUACGUAGAGAUCUGGAGGAAUACCGGUGGCGAAGGCGGCCCCCUGGACGAAGACUGACGCUCAGGUGCGAAAGCGUGGGGAGCAAACAGGAUUAGAUACCCCAGUAGUC
rnacentral:rRNA from 1 species